rnacentral:rRNA from 1 species
CCUACGGGAGGCAGCAGUAGGGAAUAUUGCUCAAUGGGGGAAACCCUGAAGCAGCAACGCCGCGUGGAGGAUGAAGGUUUUCGGAUUGUAAACUCCUUUUGUUAGAGAAGAUAAUGACGGUAUCUAACGAAUAAGCACCGGCUAACUCCGUGCCAGCAGCCGCGGUAAUACGGAGGGUGCAAGCGUUACUCGGAAUCACUGGGCGUAAAGGGCGCGUAGGCGGGAUAGCAAGUCAGAUGUGAAAUCCUAUGGCUUAACCAUAGAACUGCCUUUGAAACUGUUAUUCUAGAGUAUGGGAGAGGUAGGUGGAAUUCUUGGUGUAGGGGUAAAAUCCGUAGAGAUAAAGAGGAAUACUCAUUGCGAAGGCGACCUGCUAGAACAUAACUGACGCUGAUGCGCGAAAGCGUGGGGAGCAAACAGGAUUAGAUACCCGAGUAGUC